rnacentral:rRNA from 1 species
UAAAGAUUCAUCGGCUGCGGAUGGCCAUGCGGCGCAUUAGCUAGUCGGCGGGGUAACGGCCCACCGAGGCGACGAUGCGUAGGGGUUCUGAGAGGAAGGUCCCCCACACUGGUACUGAGACACGGACCAGACUCCUACGGGAGGCAGCAGUGAGGAAUAUUGGUCAAUGGCCGGGAGGCUGAACCAGCCAAGUCGCGUGAGGGAAGACGGCCCUACGGGUUGUAAACCUCUUUUGUCAGGGAGCAAGGGGCGGGUCGAGACCUGCUGUGAGAGUACCUGAAGAAAAAGCAUCAGCUAACUCCGUGCCAGCAGCCGCGGUAAUACGGAGGAUGCGAGCGUUAUCCGGAUUUAUUGGGUUUAAAGGGUGCGCAGGCGGAGGCACAAGUCAGCGGUAAAAUCGCGGGGCUCAACCCCGCUCCGCCGUUGAAACUGUGUCCCUUGAGUGCGCGAAGGGUAGGCGGAAUGCGUGGUGUAGCGGUGAAAUGCAUAGAUAUCACGCAGAACUCCGAUCGCGAAGGCAGCCUACCGGCGCGCGACUGACGCUCAUGCACGAAAGCGUGGGUAUCGAACAGGAUUAGAUACCCUGGUAGUCCACGCAGUAAACGAUGAAUGCUAUCUGUCCGGCCGGAAUGACGGCUGG